UUAGAGACUAAAAUACACCCUUUAAUCAAACUUUUUGACAGGUGACCUUUGACCUUAAGGGGGGUCAUGGAGUAUUGAGAACAGGUGGUGUGAGGGGUGUGUCCGAGGGGCGUAACCGUGGAUGCUGAUUGGUUGUCAUCAUUAGGGGCGAUACCUUAAAUGAACCAAUAAUAA